rnacentral:rRNA from 1 species
UACGUAGGGUGCAAGCGUUAAUCGGAAUUACUGGGCGUAAAGCGUGCGCAGGCGGUGAUGUAAGACAGUUGUGAAAUCCCCGGGCUCAACCUGGGAACUGCAUCUGUGACUGCAUCGCUGGAGUGCGGCAGAGGGGGAUGGGAAUUCCGGCGUGUAAGCAGUGAAAUGCGUAGAGAUGUGGAGGAAUACCGAUGGCGAAGGCAGCCCCUGGGAUA